rnacentral:rRNA from 1 species
AUGAGGAGAACGUGGGCGCGGAAGCCUCCGGCGAAGUGGCAUUGCUCCCUGACGACCUCCGCAAGGCAGCUCUGUUGCGGUGUCCCCCAGCGUGCCGCCCGCGCCGUCGAAAACGAGCUCGGUUGCUUGAGCAGGACGACAGCAGCAACGCGUGCGCUGGAGCGGGAGCUCAUGGCCACGCGUGCACCGCCACACACCGGCUUGCCGGUCACCGUCCGUUGGCUGCAUGCACCGCUGCGAGCCACCGCUCGAGCUGCCGCACAGUUGUCGUCCGCCCCGCGUUGCUCGUCAACACCCCAUCCGCGCCUUGAGUCCUUUGACCAAGCUCGCCGUGCCGAGACAUUGUUGGCCCUGCUGGCCGUCGCCACCGGAUCCGUCCCUUGUCCAAGCUCGCUGUGCCGAACCGUCCUCGUCCUUACUGGCCACGCCGAUGCAUGCAGGGGAAGCCGGAGGUGUCGGAGCCUCGGAGGAGAUCCAUCGUUAUGGUCAGGAGAGCAGCAUGGCCAUGCGAGCGCACGUACACCACCUGUUCGAUGUUUUGCCUCAAUGGAGUUCACAUGA